UUUUUGGCCACCCUGCGGCAUAUGGCGUUCCCAUGCCAGGGAUCAGAUCCAAGCCACAGUUGUGACCUGCAUCACAGCUGUGACAACGUUGGAUCCUUUAACCCACCGUGCCGGGCUGGGAUGGAACUUGUGUCCUAGCACUGCAGAGACACCAAUGAUCCUCUUGUGCCACAGCAGGAACUCCCAAUUGACUUGUUUUAUAUUUGAUAGAAAAAAAGUAGAAAUCGAACAUUAGAAUUAUAGGUAAAUUCUGGGAGUUCCUGUCAUGGUGCGGCUAGUGGAUUAAGAAUCCAACUGGAAUCCAUGAGGAUGUGAGUUCAACCCCUGGCCUCACUCCGUGAGUUAAAGGAUCUGGCAUUGCUGUGGCAUAGGCUGGCAGCUACAGCUCCGAUUUGACCCCUAGACUGGGAACUUCCAUAUGCUGUGAGUGUGGCACCAAACAGCAAAUAAAACAAAACAAAAACAAAAACAAAAACCCUAGAGAAAUGUUUUAGUAUGCACACAUGUGCAUGCACACACACACACACACACACACACGUUUAUUUAACUUAACAUAAAUUAAACAUCCCCCCACCAUUGGACUCCUUUGGAGGAUAUAAGGGAACCAACUCAUUUCUUCUGAAAACGGUUCGCAAUGUAAAAAGUCAAAUAUUCAACUUCUCGGAGUUCCCAUCAUGGUGCAGUGGAAAUGAAUCCGACUAGGAACCACAAGGUUGCGGGUUCGAUUCCUGGCCUCGCUCAGUGGGUCAAGGAUCUGGUGCUGCCAUGAGCUGUAGUGUAGGUCACAAACGUGGCUCAGAUCUGGCGUUGCUGUGGUUGUAGGCCGGUAACUGUAGCUCCUAUUAGACCCCUAGCCUGGGAAUCUCCAUAUGCUGUGGGUUAGGCUCUAAAAAGCAAAAAAAAAAAAAAAAAAAAAAUUAACUCUCUUUCCUGUGUGAACUGUAUUUUGGGGAAACUAAAUUGUUGUUGAGGGAAUGUUUUUCUCUAGAAAAAUUCCAGCCAAUAAACAAAAAAGAAAUAAUAGAUUAGAAUGUCACCAUUUUUGCAAACCCCAAAUCAAAGGAUGAAUCCAAGUAGUGAUUAUCAAUGGUUGCUAACAUCCCUAAAAAAGAGCCAACAAAAUAUUAUGUUUCUCCUGAUGGAAGUACACAAUACUACUUAGGAAGUAGCUUUGCCAAAAAACUGAACCUGUAUCAAACCAAGCCUCUAGAGCUAGCUACAAGUUUACAGGAAAUACAAAGGCAAGAGAAACAUGUUAGACGAUACUAAGAGGAGGGAAGUGUAGAAAAGUCCAGAUAACUGAAAAUUUUAUAGGCCUAAAGACAUGGCUUUUUCAAAAAAAAAAAAAAAAAAGGCAAAGAACAAAAAAGAAACAGGGAAUUUUAUUAGAUGUAAAAUAAUCUCAAUAUGUUGAACUCACUUGGAUUUUGAUUCACAUAAGCUAUGUUAAAUGAUGACAUUUAUGAAAUAAUUGUAAAUAUGAACACCAGUGCCUAAAUAUUUGGCAUUGUUGAAGAAUUAUUGUUAAAAUCUUCAGGUGUGAUAGUGGUAUUGUUAAUAAAUUUUUGUAAAGAGCUAUUUUAUUUUAGAAAUACAUACGGAAAUAUUUAUGAAGUGAUAGGCCACGUGAGACUUGUUUCAAAAUAAUAAGGGUACGAGGUAAGAUUGUGGAUGAAACAAAGUUAUCCAUGUUGAAGUUAGAUGAUGAUAUUGGCUAUAAAAGGAUUUCAUUGCAUUAUUACUCCUACUUUGUAAAGUGCUUGUCUUUUAAAUAUACAUCUAGAAAAAUUGAGAUGAUGAAAAGAUACCAUAAAUGACAUCUGCUUCAAAAUAAUCCAGUUGUGGGGGGAGGGGUAGAGUAGGUGGAUUUACGGAUAAAAUAAGAUCUAUGACCAUGAGUUGAUAUUGAAGCUGAGAGUUCUAUUGCACUAUUCUACUUUCAUAUGUGAUGGACAUUUUCCAUAAUAAAUAGCAUUUAAAGUAAAAAAAAAAAUCACUAUCACUCUGAGAAGUACUAGAAAUUAAGCAUGCAUUUACAACACAAUGUAUUUACCUGGAAAGUCAUAAUUAUAAGUAUAGAGUAAUUCACUUGUGAAGGAAAAAUGCAUUAGGAAACAAUGUUGCCACAGAAGUCUUAUUGAGGUACUGUCCCAGGGUAUCAUUUGGAAUAGCCAGGCCCAUAGCUCAGAGGUAUAAAACAAAGCUUAUCUGUCAUAACAGGCAGAUAUGUUGUAACAAAUCAGCCAAAAAUCUCCCUGGCACAGAAGAUUUCUAGCUCAAGAAGUGCUCUGGAAUUCCUCAAGAACCAGAUUAAUAGAGAAGCCACUGUAUCAAGUCUUUAUUGCUAUGCCAGAGGGAAAGGAGGCUCUGAAGUGCCUCACAUUGGUGAGUAAAAAAUCCAGUCUAGAAAGUCGCUUCUCACAGUUCAUUUGCAUAAAACAGUCAUCUGGCCCUAUUCUGCCACAGGGGCCAGGAGGUACAGUGCCAUCAAAACUCCAGAAGAGAGAAGAACUAGAAAUAUUUACCAAAAAAUUCUGACCCCCUUGGAGUUCCCAUCAUAACUCAGCAGUAAUGAACCCAACUAGCAUCCAUGGUCUCAAUGAGUGGGUUAAGGAUGUUAUUGCCCUGAGCUGUGGUGUAGGUCGCAAACGUGACUUGGAUCCCACGUUGCUGUGGCUGUGGUAUAGACCAGAAGCUGUAGCUCUGAUUCGACCCCUAGCCCGGGAACCUCCAUGAGUCCUCAUUUCACUCUAUCCCCACCAAUGGAGUUUCUUCAGAAUAUAAACAACCUGGCCAAUUAGAUCCAAGGGAAAUAAUGUCUCUUUUGUCUUCUUUUCAUUAUUAAUGAGUUUUAACAUUAAUAAAAUAUGCAGUAGGCAUUUAAAUUUCUUAAUUUGUGAACUGACCAUUCGUACAUAUACUUUUCCCACUUAUCUGUUUAAGGCCUUAUUACUUUCUAUUUCUAGUCUUUGUCCUUACACUGUGCAACAGAAUAUUUUUACCUCAAAUAUGCACUUGUACACAGGCAUCUCUGCUGUGUUUCUUCAAGGGUAGUGACCCCAUUUCAUUUAUCUGGGAGCAACACUGGGCACAGUAGAGACAAUGCAUACUGGGCUUUGUGUAAUUAUUUUUAGGAUUAAACAAGCUAAGCUAAACAUAAACGAGAUAACCUAAGCAAAGCAUCUAACACACUGUCACAUAGCAGAUGCUCAAUAAAUUAUUUUAAUCAAUCAAAAGAAGUUUCACCACUGAAGCAAAACCACACUAUUUCAGCGCUGAGGAAAAUCAAGAUAAAAUAUCUUUGAAAGAUCACAAAUUAUAUUUGUCCAAGUUCAAGAUUUGGGAUUUGAACACUGAUUCAAAUUACAUCUGACUGCGAUACUCUUGAGAUACUACAACUCUGACAUUUUUAAAGACCAGUAUGAAUUCUGAGCUGGUUAAAAUCUUUCGGUAAGUGGUGGAUUCUUUUCCCCAGUCUGUAAUGACACCCUGGCCCCAGACAGACGUCUCUUCUUCCAUUUAAAUUUAUAGGAAACUUCUGGUGAAAAUAGUAAAACACAAGCACAAAUAUGCAUCACAUGAUUGACAUUUGCUUCUCCAGAUUAAUUAGCUUUUGUUUUCAGACAGGAAGGCAGCUGUUCUCCGACCACUGCCAGAAAAGCAGAACUAAAACAACCAGAAGGAAAGCCUGAGCCCUUGGGAAUGGCCAAUCAGCUGGAGGGCCUGAGGCACUGCAGUGGGUUAGGAGCAUUUUUUGCUGCCGGGGCGGAGGGGGAGCUGGUUGCAAAACCAGUAUG
rnacentral:lncRNA from 1 species